rnacentral:lncRNA from 10 species
CUCAUUCUCUCUCCUGCCACCCUGUGAAGAAGUGAUUUCUGCCAUGAUUGAAUAUUUGCCAUUGGACUUAGGACUCGCUUCUGUAAUACUGGAUGAUCCCAUGUCAGGAUCCUUAAACUAAUUACAUCUGCAAAGAGCUUUUUCCCAAAUAUGGUCAUAUUCACAGGUUGGAGUGCGAGAGAGACAUAUCUUUUUGGAACCACCAUUCAACCCACUAGUGUGUCUAAGCACUCCGAGAGUUCUGUCAUGUACUCGUAAUACACCUGAGAGGAGGGUAUUAUUCCCAUGUUUCAGAAGAUAAAACUGAGGCUCAGAGAGGUGAGAUAACUUGUACCAGUUCAUAUCAUCAGUGAGUGGCUGGACUAGGAUGGAAACUGAGGGCUUCACCACCCAGGCAAGAGGGCAGGGGCCAGCCUGUGGAAAGAUAUGGAAGAAUGCAAGCUCGGCCCACGGAAGAGCUGUGAGCAGCUUCAUCCUGCUGCAGUGGAAAGAAGCAACUCGUAGAAAGGGCUCUGCAGGGGCCUGGACGUCAGCAGAUGAUGGCAGAGGAAGCUGAACGGAGAGCUGGGCCAGGUCUCAUCAGCAGAGGAGCUGCCUUUGGGAGACGCCUUCCUUGUUAGGCAAUUCUGUGGUUGGUUCUGGACAUUGUUCUUGGACACUCAGCUGCAUCCUGCUUCUCAAGACACCCAACAACUCAACGAGCUACUUAACAGUCUUCAUUAAAUUCCAUUUCUGCUGAAGCCAGCCAGGCUGGACUCUGUUAUUUACAACUAAGAACCCUGAACAAUAUAAGUGGGUUUAGCAGCGAG